rnacentral:lncRNA from 10 species
AGCCAUCCCAUUACUGGGUAUAUACCCAUAAUACAUAAUACUAUUAUGAAAAGCCAUGUAUGUAAAUGGUGCAUCUCUAUUCUUAAUUGUUUACUUAAGAUUUAGGAUUAAUUCCUAGAAGUUAAAGUAUUUUUGUGGGCAUAGUUUUAAGGCUUUCAUAUGUAUUCUUGUAUGACCCUCCAAAAACUCUGGAGAAUGCAUUUUCUACCGUAGUAAUACCCCUAACCUGAGAAGCAUAAGCUAUGUCUGCCAAAACAUUGUUAAAUUGGUUUUUAUCUCUCUGAUUAUUGGCAAAGUUGAUCCUUCCUUCCUUCCUUCCUUCCUUCCUCCCUUCCUUCCUUCCUUCCUUCCUUCCUUCUUUCCUUCCUUCCUUCUUCUUCGUCUUUUUGCAGAUUCUCCAUUCAACAUCUGUGCCAAUUAUUUUAUCGGGGUGUUCAUCUUGUUUUUAAAAUCAAGUUCUUCUUAACAUAGCAAUAAUUUAAAUACCUGUCAAUAUGUUGCAAAUACAUUUAUCCAAGUAGUUGCUAUUAUAUAUAUAUAUAUUUUUUCAGUUGAGACAGGAUCUCACUAUGUUGCCUUGCAUGGACUGGAACUCCUUGGCUCAAGAAAUCUUCUUGCCUCAGCCUCCCAAAUAGCUAGGACUAUAUGCACAUGCUACUACACCUAUUGGGAUGACAUAUUUACUUCCUACUGGCUCAUAAUAAUAAAAGCUUCUACUUACAUAGCAUUACUUUGUUCCAGGCAAUUUUCUAAGUGUGUUAUAUAUAUUAACUCACUCCAUCUUCACAACCACUCUGAAUAGAAGCUGUUGUUAUCUGUGUUUUGCAGGUGGAAAAUGAAGCACAGAGAAGUUCAGUGAUGGACCUCAGAUACUACCAGCAGAAAGCAGAAGAGCUAGGAUUUCAACUUAGGAUGUCUGGAUCCACAGUCUGCACUCCUACCCACUAUGCUACACUGCCUCUAACUAUGAGGAAGCAAGGGCAUUUUUUUUUUUCUGGUGACUAAAAAGAUAAGAGUUCAAGUAUGUGGCUCCUGAUAAUCUAACUUAUACAGCCUGGAAAAAUUGAUAGUUACUAUAUCCAGACUGUCUCAUUCAAUUAACAGUUUCUCAAGUAAUCUUCUAGUUACUGUCGUAUUUUAUCUGUAUCAACUUAGCAAACCAAGUCCAAAACAUUUUAUAUGUGUCUAUCUUUCCUGCUGUUCAUAUUAUUGAGUUAGCCAAAUAAAUUCAAUUUUUUUUCUACUGUUUGUUUCUCACAAAUUAUGAC